rnacentral:rRNA from 1 species
UGAGCAAUCUGCCCUUCUCAUCGGAAUAAGCGUUGGAAACGACGUCUAAUGCCGAAUACGACCUCCUUUCACAUGAUCGGAGGUGGAAAGCUCCGGCGGAGAAGGAUGAGCUCGCGGCCUAUCAGCUAGUUGGUGUGGGUAACGCCCACCAAGGCGACGACGGGUAGCCGGCCUGAGAGGGUGACCGGCCACACUAGAACUGAGACACGGCCCAGACUCCUACGGGAGGNAG